rnacentral:rRNA from 1 species
UUCGCAAUGCCCGAAAGGGUGACGAAGCGACGCCGCGUGCGGGAAGAAGGCCUUCGGGUUGUAAACCGCUGUCGGGAGUUAAGAAAUGCAAGGAUAUUAAUAGUGUCUUUGCUUGACUAAGGCUCCGGAGGAAGCCACGGCUAACUCUGUGCCAGCAGCCGCGGUAAUACAGAGGCGGCAAGCGUUGUUCGGAAUUAUUGGGCGUAAAGAGCACGUAGGCGGCUAUGUAAGUCGGUUGUGAAAGCCUUCCGCUCAACGGGAGAACAGCAUCCGAUACUGCAUGGCUUGAGUGCGGGAGGGGAGAGUGGAACUUCUGGUGGAGCGGUGAAAUGCGUAGAUAUCAGAAGGAACGCCGGCGGCGAAAGCGGCUCUCUGGCCCGUAACUGACGCUGAGUGUGCGAAAGCUAGGGGAGCAAACGGGAUUAGAUACCCCGGUAGUCCUAGCCGUAAAC